rnacentral:tRNA from 1 species
UCCCUGGUGGCUCAGCUGGUAAAGAAUCUGCCUGUAAUACAGGAGGCCUAGGUUCGAUCCCUGGGUUGGGAA